rnacentral:rRNA from 1 species
UACGGGGGGAGCAAGCGUUGUUCGGAUUUACUGGGCGUAAAGGGCGCGUAGGCGGCCACGACAAGUCACUUGUGAAAUCUCCGGGCUUAACUCGGAGCGGUCAAGUGAUACUGUCGGGCUAGAGUGCAGAAGGGGCAACUGGAAUUCUCGGUGUAGCGGUGAAAUGCGUAGAUAUCGAGAGGAACACCUGCGGCGAAGGCGGGUUGCUGGGCUGACACUGACGCUGAUGCGCGAAAGCUAGGGGAGCGAACGGG